rnacentral:rRNA from 1 species
UGUACGCAAGUCAUUGGGUUUAUAAAACCUAAAGGCGAAAUGAAAGUAAAGAGUAAAAAUUUGAAUAGGUUCUCCUAUACUAUUUGCACUCUAAGGAGGAUGGAAGCUUCAUCUUUAUGCUUAUAGUUUACUAUGACAUAUAGAUAAAAGUUACCCGCACUCCUGGGGCGCUAGUUUCUCGCCUUGCGAGUCGAUGCGCACCUAGAGCGUACACGAUGAUACCCGAAAGAUGGUGAACUAUGCCUGGCCAGGACGAAGCCAGGGGAAACCCUGGUGGAGGUCCGCAGCGAUUCUGACGUGCAAAUCGAUCGUCGGAGCUGGGUAUAGGGGCGAAAGACCAAUCGAACCAUCUAGUAGCUGGUUCCCUCUGAAGUUUCCCUCAGGAUAGCUUGCGCUCGAUUGAUACGAGUCUCAUCCGGUAGAGCGAAUGAUUAGAGGCAUUGGGGUCGAAACGACCUCAACCUAUUCUCAAACUCCAAAUAGAUGAGAACCCCGGCUUUCUUAAAAGUGAAGCCGUGGGAUUCGGAUCAGAGUGCCA